rnacentral:rRNA from 1 species
AACGAACGCUGGCGGCAGGCCUAACACAUGCAAGUCGAGCGGACCCUUCGGGGUUAGCGGCGGACGGGUGCGUAACGCGUGGGAAUAUGCCCUUCUCUACGGAAUAGUCCUGGGAAACUGGGGGUAAUACCGUAUACGCCCUUUGGGGGAAAGAUUUAUCGGGGAAGGAUUAGCCCGCGUUGGAUUAGGUAGUUGGUGGGGUAAUGGUCUACCAAGCCGACGAUCCAUAGCUGGUUUGAGAGGAUGAUCAGCCACACUGGGACUGAGACACGGCCCAGACUCCUACGGGAGGCAGCAGUGGGGAAUCUUAGACAAUGGGGGCAACCCUGAUCUAGCCAUGCCGCGUGAGUGAUGAAGGCCUUAGGGUUGUAAAGCUCUUUCAGCUGGGAAGAUAAUGACGGUACCAGCAGAAGAAGCCCCGGCUAACUCCGUG